GGAAGGAUGGCAGAGUGGUCUAUUGCGGCUGUCUUGAAAACAGCUGGGUUAACAGCCCCGGGGGUUCGAAUCCCUCUCCUUCCGCCA
rnacentral:tRNA from 1 species